rnacentral:rRNA from 1 species
GACGAACGCUGGCGGCGUGCCUAAUACAUGCAAGUCGAACGAGUGGCGGACGGGUGAGUAACACGUGGGAACCUACCCAUCUGAGGGGGAUAACACUUGGAAACUGGUGCUAAUACCGCAUACUGAUUGAUCGAGCCGCGGUGCAUUAGCUACUUGGUGAGGUAACGGCUCACCUAGGCGACGAUCCCUAGCUGGUCUGAGAGGAUGAUCAGCCACACUGGGACUGAGACACGGCCCAGACUCCUACGGGAGGCAGCAGUGGGGAAUAUUGCACAAUGGGCGCAAGCCUGAUGCAGCCAUGCCGCGUGUAUGAAGAAGGCCUUCGGGUUGUAAAGUACUUUCAGUCGGGAGGCGUUACCGACAGAAGAAGCACCGGCUAACUCCGUGCCAGCAGCCGCGGUAAUUC